AGAAGAAAGAAGAACUUUGGGAUUAUGUCUUGAAACAUUUUAUUGUCCCAAUUGAGGGAAAAAAUGGGUUUUGCAAACCAUUGAUGCUUCUUGGAGAAGGUACAAAUGUUAUUUAAAAAGAGUACACUUUCAUAAAUAUGACAAUGAUAAAACAAGGAUGAUCAAACGACCAAAACUAGUCCCAAAAAAUAUGUUCCAAGACUUGUUAAAGAUUUGGAAUGAUGUCAAAUAUGAGGAACGAUGUAUGCAAAAUAAAGCAAAUCGAUUAGUUGGAAAGGAAAACAACAUUAUGCAUACUUCAGGACCAAAGAGUUUUGCUAGGGUUCGAUUUAAGUGGGUGAGUUUGUUUGUUUGCUUGUUUACAUUUCUCAUCACUUUUAUUAUUGGUUUUAUUUCUGCAUUAAAAUGAUUGACACUCAUUACUCUUGUAUAGAAAAAGGAUAAUAAAACAACAAAAAAUCCUAGUUUAGCUCAAAUGUUCAUAGCAACACGCAAGGAGAAGCUAACAAAGCGAAAGCCUGGUGACCUAAGGGACAAAUUGAUGACUGAACUUGAGAAAUUAGAUUCAGAGGAGGAGGUUGAAAGUGUGAUUUCAACUAUUAUUGGUUCUGAUAACAAGAAAAAGUCUCGAUUAAAUUUUCAUGGA